rnacentral:lncRNA from 1 species
CCAUGUGGACCCAAUUUGGUUUUGAAUCGAACCCCAAAGGCUUCAAAUUGGACUUGGGCUAAAUCCUUGGAUAGGAUCCAAGCAAGUAAGUUCAUAGUAUGAUGAACUAAGAGAUUUUAUAAUAAAUAAAUGGGAAAUAAUGUAAACCCUAUGAUGUUGUUUUAGGUGAUUAAGGAUUUGUCACCUGGACUUGAGCAAUUUGGAAAGCGAAUUGAUGUAAGUAAUCUUUCUUAAUCUUAUCGUAGAUCUUGUAUUACGUUUUAUAAGAUGAACCAGUGUUUUUCAUACAAUUUGAAUUGUAUACAUGAUUUGUGAAGAAAGUAAGUAACCUUUUCUAAUCUUGUUAUGGAUUAUGUCAUGUUAUUAAUGUUUCCUAAGCAUUUAUUUUAAGUAUAUAUGUUUCAUGCAUGAUAUGUUACAAUGCAUAAGUAACUUGCAUGAUCUCAGAAGCUAUGGCUAUGUAUGCAACAUGAUGAUGCUGAUAUUUUAAUCAUGCAUGUAAGUUUAUAAAAUCUUAGCUAGCCAAAAGGCACUAUUAUAAUGGGCUCAAAGAUGCUACUGAUCGAAUGCAACUGAGCUGGCCUUGCUAGUGGCCGAGAAUAACUUCGCUGGCCUUGCUAGUGGCCGAGAAUGACUAGCUGGCCCCGCCAGUGGCCGAAUGGACUUCGCAGU